AAGGGUAUGGCUGUUCGCCAUUUAAAGUGGUACGCGAGCUGGGUUUAGAACGUCGUGAGACAGUUCGGUCCCUAUCUGCCGUGGACGUUUGAGAUUUGAGAGGGGCUGCUCCUAGUACGAGAGGACCGGAGUGGACGAACCUCUGGUGUUCCGGUUGUCACGCCAGUGGCACUGCCGGGUAGCUAUGUUCGGAAGAGAUAACCGCUGAAAGCAUCUAAGCGGGAAACUUGCCUCAAGAUGAGAUCUCACUGGAGCCUUGAGCUCCCUGAAGGGCCGUCGAAGACUACGACGUUGAUAGGCAGGGUGUGUAAGCGUUGUGAGGCGUUGAGCUAACCUGUACUAAUUGCCCGUGAGGCUUGACCAUAUAACACCCAAACAAUU
rnacentral:rRNA from 1 species